UACGAAGGGGGGCUAGCGUUGCUCGGAAUCACUGGGCGUAAAGGGUGCGUAGGCGGGUCUUUUAAGUCAGGGGUGAAAUCCUGGAGCUCAACUCCAGAACUGCCUUUGAUACUGAGGAUCUUGAGUCCGGGAGAGGUGAGUGGAACUGCGAGUGUAGAGGUGAAAUUCGUAGAUAUUCGCAAGAACACCAGUGGCGAAGGCGGCUCACUGGCCCGGUACUGACGCUGAGGCACGAAAGCGUGGGGGAGCCAAACAGGG
rnacentral:rRNA from 1 species